GGGGCCGACCUGGUUUCGACGUGGGUCAGGAAGUGGGUCAGGGCAUGCCGAGGCCUCGUUACCUCGUAAAUCCAGCGGGAAAUUAAUAAACGCAAACGAAGAGCGUUUCGCUCUCGCCGCCUAAUCCCGGUGAGCGCCACACCAACUUGCUGAUGGGUUGGGUCAAAUUCGGGUAACUGGGUUUGGCAGUGGUGUAACUUAAGUCAGAUCGCGCGUGCGCCGGGUCACUUGGACGCACCGUUAAAACAAAGGUGACUGGUUGGCGCCCGGCCUGUCGGCUGGCUAAGGCGACAACGAGAUCCAAAUUAGCCGACUAAGCAUGUAGAACUGUUCAUGGAAGUCUUGCGGACGCGGGUUCGAUUCCCGCCGGCUCCACCA
rnacentral:tmRNA from 1 species